UACGUAGGCAGCAAGCGUUGUUCGGAGUUACUGGGCGUAAAGGGUGCGUAGGCGGCUCUAUAAGUAUGGUGUGAAAUCUCCCGGCUUUAACUGGGAGGGUGCGCCUAUAGACUGUGGGGGCUAGAGUGUGGGAGAGGAAAGUGGGAAUUCCCGGUGUAGCGGUGAAUGCGCAGAUAUCGGGAGGAACACCAAGGCGAAAGCAGGUAACUGGACUAUUACUGACACUAAAGCUGCGAAAGCUAGGGGAGCAAACAGGAUUAAGAAACCCUAGUG
rnacentral:rRNA from 1 species